rnacentral:rRNA from 1 species
UACGCUGGCGGCACGCCUAACACAUGCAAGUCGAACGAAGUAGCAAUACUUAGUGGCAGACGGGUGAGUAACAUGUGGGUAUCUGCCCUUUGGCCUGGAAUAACACGAGGAAACUUGUGCUAAUACCGGAUAAGUCUUUACGGAGAAAGCUUUAUGCACCAUUGGAUGAGCCCGCACUUGAUUAGUUUGUUGGUGGGGUAAUGGCCUACCAAGACUGUGAUCAAUAGCUGAUUUGAGAGGAUGAUCAGCCACAUUGGGACUGAGACACGGCCCAAACUCCUACGGGAGGCAGCAGUGGGGAAUCUUGCACAAUGGAGGAAACUCUGAUGCAGCGAUGCCGCGUGAGUGAAGAAGGCCCUUGGGUUGUAAAGCUCUUUCGUCGGGGAAGAAAAUGACUGUACCCGAAUAAGAAGGUCCGGCUAACU